GGUAACCUACCCAUCAGAGGGGGAUAACACUUGGAAACAGGUGCUAAUACCGCAUAACAGUUUAUGCCGCAUGGCAUAAGAGUGAAAGGCGCUUUCGGGUGUCGUUGAUGGAUGGACCCGCGGUGCAUUAGCUAGUUGGUGAGGUAACGGCUCACCAAGGCCACGAUGCAUAGCCGACCUGAGAGGGUGAUCGGCCACACUGGGAUGAGACACGGCCCAGACUCCUACGGGAGGCAGCAGUAGGGAAUCUUCGGCAAUGGACGAAAGUCUGACCCGAGCAACGCCGCGUGAGUGAAAGAAGGUUUUCGGAUCGUA
rnacentral:rRNA from 1 species